rnacentral:rRNA from 1 species
UACAGAGGGGGCAAGCGUUGUUCGGAAUUACUGGGCGUAAAGGGCGCGUAGGCGGCCCGCUAAGUCGAACGUGAAAUCCCCGGGCUCAACCCGGGAACUGCGUCCGAUACUGGUGGGCUCGAAUCCGGGAGAGGGAUGCGGAAUUCCAGGUGUAGCGGUGAAAUGCGUAGAUAUCUGGAGGAACACCGGUGGCGAAGGCGGCAUCCUGGACCGGCAUUGACGCUGAGGCGCGAAAGCCAGGGGAGCAAACGGG